rnacentral:miRNA from 1 species
AACAAAAAAAUAGUAUGGCCGCGCGGCUAUACUAUUUAAAAACAAAAAUGUAAUCGAAUGGUUAAAUAGUAUAGCCGGGCGGAUAUAAUAUUUUUUUA